rnacentral:rRNA from 1 species
ACUCAAAUGAAUUGACGGGGGCUCACACAAGCGGUGGAGCAUGUGGCUCAAUUCGAAGCAACGCGAAGAACCUUAUCCUGGGCUUGACAUGCACGGAUUAGCCCCGAGAAAUCGGGGUGAGGCCCUCACGGGUACAACGUGCACAGGUGCUGCAUGGCUGUCGUCAGCUCGUGCUGUGAAGUGUCGGGUUAAGUCCCUUAACGAGCGAAACCCCUAUCGUUAGUUGCUACCGCGUCAUGGCGAGGACUCUAACGAGACUGCCGGUGUCAAACCGGAGGAAGGUGGGGAUGACGUCAAGUCCUCAUGGCCCUUAUGCCCAGGGCUGCACACGUGCUACAAUGGCGCGAACAGAGCGAAGCGAGACCGCAAGGUGGAGCAAAUCGCACAAAGCGCGCCCCAGUUCAGAUUGAGGUCUGCAACCCGACCUCAUGAAGUCGGAAUCGCUAGUAAUCGCGGAUCAGCUACGCCGCGGUGAAUAUGUUCCUGAGCCUUGUACACACCGCCCGU